GGGAUAUGAAGAGAAUGAUAUUAGAGAUGCUGCCAUGGUUGGAAAAUAUAAAAAAGAAGAUUUCUAUAGCAGAAUAAUAAUGGCUGUGAAAUGUCUUGUGUGUGUGUGUGUGUGUGUGUGUGUGUGUAUGAUGGUGGUGGUGGGGAUAGAACCCAGGGCCUUGUGCAUGCAAGGCAAGUACUCUACCAACUAAGCUAUCUCCCC
rnacentral:sRNA from 1 species